GUGUGCAGUGCUUUUCACAAGAAGGUGUCUUUCAUGUAAAUUAGAAUAUGAAUGACCCUUGUUGUGAGGAAUAAUGUACAG
rfam:Mesocricetus auratus contig185534, whole genome shotgun sequence.